UUCCGGUUGAUCCCGCCGGAGGCUACUGCUAUCGGGAUUCGAUUAAGCCAUGCGAGUCGAGAGGGUUCGGCCCUCGGCUGACGGCUCAGUAACACGUGGAUAACCUGCCCUCAGGUAGGGGAUAAUCUCGGGAAACUGAGGAUAAUACCCUAUAGACAUCCUUUGCUGGAAUGCUUGGAUGUUCAAAGGCGACGCCUGAGGAUGGGUCUGCGGCCUAUCAGGUUGUAGUGGGUGUAAUGGACCCACUAGCCUACGACGGGUACGGGCCUUGAAAGAGGUAGCCCGGAGAUGGACUCUGAGACACGAGUCCAGGCCCUACGGGGCGCAGCAGGCGCGAAAACUUCGCAAUGCGGGAAACCGUGACGAGGGAAUCCCGAGUGCUCAUGCAAUGCAUGGGCUUUUAUGAUGUGUAAAAAGCAUUAGGAAUAAGGGCUGGGUAAGACCGGUGCCAGCCGCCGCGGUAAUACCGGCAGCUCUAGUGGUAGCCACUUUUAUUGGGCCUAAAGCGUCCGUAGCCUGUCAGGUAAAUCCUUGGGUAAAUCGUACAGCUUAACUGUGCGGCUUCCGAGGAGACUGCCUGACUUGGGACCGGGAGAGGUUGGAGGUACUCCUGGGGUAGGGGUGAAAUCCUGUAAUCCUAGGUGGACCACCGGUGGCGAAGGCGUCCAACCAGAACGGCUCCGACGGUGAGGGACGAAGGCUAGGGGCGCAAACCGGAUUAGAUACCCGGGUAGUCCUAGCUGUAAACGCUGCAGACUUGGUGUUGGAGAUCCCACGAGGGUGUCCAGUGCCGGAGAGAAGUUGUUAAGUUUGCCGCCUGGGAAGUAUGGCCGCAAGGCUGAAACUUAAAGGAAUUGGCGGGGGAGCACCGCAACGGGAGGAGCGUGCGGUUUAAUUGGAUUCAACGCCGGG
rnacentral:rRNA from 1 species